rnacentral:ncRNA from 2 species
AUUUAAUAUUUAGUAUUAGGUGCUGUCAAUAUGACAGUUAAAAGGAAAAGUGUAAAAAACACUGCAGCCCACCGUUACUGUAUGGAGGAUGAAACCCUAACUAUGUCACUGGAAUUAUGUUUUCGGGAAGACAGGGAAGUAAGAUGAAUCUGAGCCAGGAAGCCUGCCUGAUAUGUUGUUAAUUC